AGUGAACGCUGGCGGCGUGCCUAAUACAUGCAAGUCGAACGGACGAGUAAGAGCUUGCUCUUAUGAGUUAGUGGCGCACGGGUGAGUAAUGUAUAGCUAAUCUGCCCUACACUAGAGGACAACAGUUGGAAACGACUGCUAAUACUCUAUACACCUCUCCAGCAUAAGUUAGAUAGGGAAAGUUUUUCGGUGUAGGAUGAGGCUAUAUUGUAUCAGCUAGUUGGUGGGGUAAUGGCUCACCAAGGCUAUGACGCAUAACUGGUCUGAGAGGAUGAUCAGUCACACUGGAACUGAGACACGGUCCAGACUCCUACGGGAGGCAGCAGUAGGGAAUAUUGCUCAAUGGGGGAAACCCUGAAGCAGCAACGCCGCGUGGAGGAUGACACUUUUCGGAGCGUAAACUCCUUUUGUUAGGGAAGAACAAUGACGUACCUAACGAAU
rnacentral:rRNA from 1 species